UACGUAGGUCCCGAGCGUUGUCCGGAUUUAUUGGGCGUAAAGCGAGCGCAGGUGGUUUAUUAAGUCUGGUGUAAAAGGCAGUGGCUCAACCAUUGUAUGCAUUGGAAACUGGUAGACUUGAGUGCAGGAGAGGAGAGUGGAAUUCCAUGUGUAGCGGUGAAAUGCGUAGAUAUAUGGAGGAACACCGGUGGCGAAAGCGGCUCUCUGGCCUGUAGCUGACGCUGAGGCUCGAAAGCGUGGGGAGCAAACAGG
rnacentral:rRNA from 1 species